CCUGCCCAGAAAGCAUGACUCUCCCUUCAGACCUUAACACCAGCAUCAAUUUGAUGGAGCUACCUUUCUCCAACCUGGAACUUGUGUUCAUUAUGACAGCCUUUAUAGUGUUUUCUCUGUUCAGCCUGGCUUCAAUCUUCAGUCAACCAGAAGACACAGUGGAAGAAAAAGAGCUCUAUCAAGAAUACAAGAAGCUUGUGAAUAACCCCAAGAAAAAGAGAAAUGAAACCUCCAAAAUGACAAAAGUUACUGAAGUAGUAUAAGAAACAAAACGUCUGGACAUUGAUUGUUAAUUGAGAACUGGACCUUUUUCUGAUCCAAGGAAAUGCAAUGAAGUCAUUUGUCUGCUGGAAUUCAGACAUGGCUGUGUACACUGCACGUAACACAUGACUUAAGAGAGUGUUUUUAUAUAUUUGACUGCCAUAAUAUUUAUUGUGAGAAUUCAAAUUAAUAACAACAUAUUUUUUUAAGUAUGUAUAUUUAGGAUCAGUCUAUGGUGCAUUUACAACCAUCUUUUUGUUUUAGUGCACAUUAGUUAACUACUUCAUCAUAGUUUGUUGGAAACAAAACGUCUUACAGCCUUGUUAAGAUACAGUAUAUGGUAGAUCACCUGUCUAGCAACCAUUAGAUCACUUUUUCAUUGAAAUGAAACACACAAGUGGACAACAUAGGGCCCUUGUCAAUCAGAAAACCUCUCUGGAGUACGCCACAGGUCUUUGUAAUGAAAGAUUAGAUGGAGACUGUUUAUCAUAUACAAAUAAAAUGGGUCGUCAGGCCUGCAGUGAGUGUCUGGUCAUGGAAACGGGGCAACACAGGCAGACCUGGCUUUCCAGACAGGCACAGUCACCCCAGCCUGGACAAAGAAACUGAACACAGACAGAUCUGGCAGCCCAGACAACACAGGCUGUGCAGGGAGAAGCAUUGACAGAGGUACACUUUCUGCUGCACAGUGAAAAAUACCCUGGGAUUUCACAAACCAGACCAGCUUCCAGUCCUGAGGAGUUAUAUGUACACAGGGUGGUCCGCCUA
rnacentral:lncRNA from 1 species